UCAGGGAUAUACAGGAAGGUUCAACUGAAGCCGCUGAAGUGGGAUGGUGAAGGCGAAGAAGAAAGACCUGUAGAGGCCCUUAUGAUUCUUAAAUACGGUGGUGUUCUAACUCACGCUGGUAGAAAACAAGUGUUUACAUACUCUACCAUUUAAUUUGUCAUUGUUAUAUAUAUAUAUAUAUAUAUAUAUAUUUUCUAAAUAUGGAAGAACUGUUUAACUUAUUGAUGUUUGCUUCAUCUGCAUGCAGGCAGAAGAGCUUGGUAGAUUUUUCCGAUACAAUAUGUAUCCAGGUGAAGGGACUGGUUUACUUCGUCUCCAUAGUACAUACCGUCAUGACCUUAAAAUUUACAGUUCUGACGAGGGACGUGUUCAGAUGUCUGCAGCUGCUUUUGCUAAAGGCAUGCUUGACCUAGAAGGACAGCUGAUGCCAAUUUUGGUUUUUCCUUCUUAAUAUUAUAUUGCUGGUGCUUAAUUUGCAAUAUCAUCAUGUGUUUACUAAUAAUGUCUUUUUAUCUUUCUUGCUUCUCAAGGUUUCUUUGGUUAGCAAGGACUCUUCCAUGUUGGAUGGUCUUGAUACUGCUAGCAUUGAAAUGGAAGCUGCCAAGGUUUGUCCCAUGACUUGAGUUAUUUUUUGAUGUGUGUGUAUCAGUCAAUCAACAAGAUUGAUUUCAUUUUAAUUGGACUAUAUAUGCAGGCUAGAUUGAAUGAGAUUGUAACAUCUGGCAAAAAAAUGCUCAAUGAAUUACUACUAUUUAUUAUUAUCAAAUCAUAGUAAUAAUUAUCAAAUUAAAUACGCAAAAGGCAAAAAAAAAGAGAGAGGCAUAACAUAAAAUAAGUUAGCAUAUUAAAUUGCAAAUAAGCCAAAAUAUUUCAAAGCAAUCAAACAACCUAAAAAUUAAUAAUCGAACAAACUAUCUUUUUUUAUUAUACCAGAUAUUAGUUCCACCAAUAAUCGUGGUCAACUUACCAACAUGGUGCAUAUAUGUCAAAUGGACAAAUCUACGUUUAAGUAACCCAACUUGUAAGGGAUUUAGAUUUUUUUGUGAAUCUCGUGGACUGAUCUAUCGCAGAUUGGGGUUCAUAGGUGAAGUUUCAAGAAAUUGUUAUAAUUUGAUUGGUCAAUUGUUUUUUAUUUUUAUUUAUUUAAUUUAGAUCUAAAAUUUUAAGAUAAAUCUAAAAUCAUUGAACAUCACUUGCCAUAUAAUCUAACGAAUAUUACAAAUAACAAUUUAUGGAAACUAUUCUCGAAAUUACAGAAAGAUUAAUAAUGUUUUAUUUAUUACUUU